UACGUAGGUGGCAAGCGUUGUCCGGAUUUACUGGGCGUAAAGCGCCCGUAGGCGGCCUGGCAAGUUGGACGUGAAAGCUCCUGGCUUAACUGGGAGAGGCCGUUCAAAACUGCCAAGCUAGAGUCUGGAAGAGGAGAGCGGAAUUCCCGGUGUAGUGGUGGAAUGCGUAGAGAUCGGGAGGAACACCAGUGGCGAAAGCGGCUCUCUGGUCCAAAACUGACGCUGAGGGGCGAAAGCGUGGGGAGCGAACGGG
rnacentral:rRNA from 1 species